rnacentral:rRNA from 1 species
GACGAACGCUGGCGGCGUGCUUAACACAUGCAAGUCGAACGGAAAGGCCCUGCUUUUGUGGGGUGCUCGAGUGGCGAACGGGUGAGUAACACGUGAGUAACCUGCCCUUGACUUUGGGAUAACUUCAGGAAACUGGGGCUAAUACCGGAUAGGAGCUCCUGCUGCAUGGUGGGGGUUGGAAAGUUUCGGCGGUUGGGGAUGGACUCGCGGCUUAUCAGCUUGUUGGUGGGGUAGUGGCUUACCAAGGCUUUGACGGGUAGCCGGCCUGAGAGGGUGACCGGCCACGUUGGGGCUGAGAUACGGCCCAGACUCCUACGGGAGGCAGCAGUGGGGAAUAGUGCACAAUGGGCGGAAGCCUGAUGCAGCAACGCCGCGUGCGGGAUGACGGCCGUCGGGUUGUAAACCGCUUUCGCCUGUGACGAAGCGUGAGUGACGGUAAUGGGUAAAGAAGCACCGGCUAACUACGUG